rnacentral:lncRNA from 1 species
UCUUUUUCUCAAUGCACAGGGAGCAUUCCUAUACGUUGUGAGGUUCCCUUGUGCUUCAUUCCAAUUUUUAAAGUAAUUCUGUUGUGGAGCUUUCCCAUCCAGCUGUUUUGGCCAGCUACUGGAAGAAACCCGGGUGUAGUAUUGAUGGAGAAGUGAUAUAUCAGUGGAAGGACUCAGAGGCAGCUUUGGAGUGUUUUAAGAGCCAUCAUUUACGUCAUGGCAGGGUUUCCAGGAUGUUACAAAAUCUAAAUUAAGCAUGAUGGCAACACCACCUGGAAAUUACUUUGCUUACAAGUGAAAGGAAACAAAGGCUGUCCCACAUGUGCUGUUCUCUCAUUUGGGUGAGUGGCUGGGUUUGGG